rfam:Camelus ferus unplaced genomic scaffold scaffold302, whole genome shotgun sequence.
GAGGGUAUAGUUCAAGUGGCAGAGUGCAUGUCUAGCAUACACGAGAUCCUGGGUUCAAUCCCCAGUACCUCCU